GACGAACGCUGGCGGCGUGCCUAAUACAUGCAAGUAGAACGCACAGUUUAUACCGUAGCUUGCUACACCAUAGACUGUGAGUUGCGAACGGGUGAGUAACGCGUAGGUAACCUGCCUGGUAGCGGGGGAGAACUAUUGGAAACGAUAGCUAAUACCGCAUAAUAUUAAUUAUUGCAUGGUAAUUAAUUGAAAGGUGCAAUUGCACCACUACCAGAUGGACGUGCGUUGUAUUAGCUAGUAGGGGAGGUAACGGCCCACCCAGGGGACGAUACAUAGCCGGCCUGGGAGGGUGAUCGGCCCACCUGGGACUGAGACCAGGCCCAGACUCCUACGGGAGGCAGCAGUAGGGAAUCUUCGGCAAUGGACGAAAGUCUGACCGAGCAACGCCGCGUGAGUGAAGAAGGUUUUCGGAUUGUAAAGCUCUGUUGUAAGAGAAGAACGGGUGUGAGAGUGGAAAGUUCACACUGUGACGGUAUCUUACCAGAAAGGGACGGCUAACUACGUG
rnacentral:rRNA from 1 species